ensembl:snoRNA
CUGCACUGAUGAUCGUAGAUGUGACUGACCUGGUAUUGCUGGCCUCUGGGUCAACUCUGACUGGGAAAUGACCUCAGUUAAUCUUCUCUCUGAGCAG